rnacentral:rRNA from 1 species
UACGUAGGUGGCAAGCGUUGUUCGGAAUUAUUGGGCGUAAAGGGCGCGUAGGCGGCUCGUUAAGUCGGUUGUGAAAGCCCGGGGCUCAACCCCGGAGGGUCGACCGAUACUGGCAAGCUAGAGUACAGAAGAGGUAGCUGGAAUUCCCGGUGUAGCGGUGAAAUGCGUAGAUAUCUGGAGGAAUACCGGUGGCGAAGGCGGCAUCCUGGACCGACAUUGACGCUGAGGAGCGAAAGCUAGGGGAGCAAACGGG